UUUGGCGGUUUGACGCAGUGGUCACACCUCUUACCAUUCCGAACAGAGAAGUUAAGCACUGUAGUGGCGAUGGUACUCCUUUGGGGGAGAGUAGCUAGCCGCCAGAA
rnacentral:rRNA from 1 species